rnacentral:rRNA from 1 species
CCAGACUCCUACGGGAGGCAGCAGUGGGGAAUAUUGCACAAUGGGGGAAACCCUGAUGCAGCGACGCCGCGUGAGUGAAGAAGUAUUUCGGUAUGUAAAGCUCUAUCAGCAGGGAAGAAGAAGGACGGUACCUGACUAAGAAGCCCCGGCUAACUACGUGCCAGCAGCCGCGGUAAUACGUAGGGGGCGAGCGUUAUCCGGAUUUACUGGGUGUAAAGGGAGCGUAGACGGUUAAUCAAGUCUGAAGUGAAAGCCCGCGGCUCAACUGCGGAACGGCUUUGGAAACUGAGUAACUGGAGUGCUGGAGGGGCAGGCGGAAUUCCUGGUGUAGCGGUGAAAUGCGUAGAUAUUAGGAGGAACACCAGUGGCGAAGGCGGCUUACUGGACAGUAACUGACGUUGAGGCUCGAAAGCGUGGGGAGCAAACAGGAUUAGAUACCCGAGUACA